UUUAGAACUUCUUUUUUCCUCUUUUAACCGUUGGUAUUUAAAAAAAAAAAAGUCAAGGAUGUUUAUAUGUUGAGGAUGAAAUGGUUUUGGAGUUUCACUGAUAUUCAUAAAUACAGUUCUUGUAACAAUUUCUCGUUUAUCUGGUAAACCUUGGUAACUAUUUAAGCACAUGUUGCAUGGUUUUUUUAUCUUGUUUAAGGCGUAGCGUUUCUUGGUAGUGAUAGCUAUAUUCAUGAAAAAUUCAACCAACAGUACAAAGCUACAAUUGGAGCUGAAUUUGUCACCAAAGAAUUACAGAUUGAUGACAAAUUGUAACUUUGCAAGUAAGUGAUGAAAAAUCAAGGGUAAUUCUUACACAUUUUUUUUAAACUAAAAUCCCCACAUUUUACCAAGUGUCUUCUUGUCUGAUAGAUAUGGGAUACAGCGGGGCAAGAAAGGUUCCAGAGUCUUGGUUCUGCAAUUUAUCGAGGGGCAGAUUGUUGUGUUGUUGUGUUUGAUGUGAACAUACUCAGAUUGUUUGAAACACUAAACAAUUGUCGUGAAGAAUUUCUGAAACGGGUCUCAUAAUUCUGUACUGUUCAUCUCAUUUCUUCACAAGUAAUAAAACAGAUCAUAACAUGUUUGCUGUAAUGUCCCAGUUGUAAACUGUAAAGACUCUUUUCUGUCAUCAUUGCUUUCAAACUACUUCUUAACUAAAAUUUUAGGGCAAACCCAUUGUAGCAAACCAUGUAUCUGAUUGAUGUUUUAAUUUUAGAUAUUUAUAUAUGUCAUUAAUCAACUCAUUGUGUUAUCUUGAAAAAACCAUGUCAUACUUUGAAGAAACGACACUUGGAUUUAGAACUGAUUUAAUUCUCUUUGUAUCUUGUUAUCUCUUAAGUCCUAACCAUCAUUUUCCAGCAUAAUUGAACUACUAUUUGCUUUUUACAAUGAAGUUGAUUUUGAUCCCAUAUUUUGGUACUCUAAACCAGGCAAAUCCAUCUUCUUGUUUGUUAGUAUUUCUAGUCAUUAUUGCUCCAUUGUUUGGUUGUUUAUUUCAAAUUUCAAUAUUUUCUUUGCUUUACUUAUUUUGUUGAACCUGUGUUAAUGUGACUUCGCAACCUUGUUUUUUUAACAUAUUUUUUUUAUCGUUGACAAAGGCUGCGUUUAGACUGCUUCAACCUUCUAGGAUUUUAUUCAUGAUUAUGACUUUAUAAUAUUCAGUAAAAAAAGACGGAAGCUUUAAAACAAAAGCUAAAUUCGAGGAGACAAAGAACAAAACUCCAACACCAUUUUUCCUUUUAUUUAUUUAAACCUCUUCCUAUUCGACCAUCAAACUCUCUUCUCUAAGUCCUUUGUUACCACUUUAUAUUCUUUCAUCUCUUCAUUCUUUUAAAAUCAGUGCUUGCUGAUUUUUUUAUUGAUCUUCUACCCCUUGUACCUGGAUCCGACCUGACCUGGAUUGUUCCUUGUGUUCUUUUUCUGCUUUCUCAGCAGGGAGAUCCCAUUCUGGAGACAAAGAAGAACACAAAAGAUCAAAGCUGCUACUGGAUUUUUUGAGCUUCUCUGCUUCUAGCUUUUCAUCUAUGGCCAGAUACUCAGUUGUGACUGAUAAGGUCUCAAUGGAGAUUGUUGAAGAAUUCAUUCUAGUAUAGUUGAAUCUGACAAAAGGCACAAUAUCUGAAAUUAAGCACAUUCAUUUGACAGGAUAAUUUGGAAACCCUGUUGCAAGAGGACAUUCAGGCUGAUCUAGUCUACUGCUUGCAGCAUUUGCAGUUAAGAUUUGAAACCGAAGACAAAGCAAGGAGACUUCUAAGUAAUGUGUCAUUUUUGUUGAAACCAGGGGGUUAUUUUUUCAGUAUUACUCCUGAAAAAGUGAUUGCCAAAAAUUGUUGUUUCUGGAUUUAUGUAUUUUCCUCUUUUUUUUCUCGUGUUUACUACUGCACAUGUUUCUAGGAGGUGGUUGUGUAAACAUUUUAGUGUGCUUUAGUUAUUGUAAGAAUAUUUUUAACAUUUUUAAUUUUAAUAUUAUUGUAAGAAUAUUUUGAAUUAUAAUUCAGUUAUCAAUUAAUAUCAUAUAUCUUUCAUUGAA